UAUAAGGCAGUUAGUGUAAGUAAGGGCUCCGCGGUAGCAGUAUAAGGCAGUUAGUGUAAGUAAGGGCUCCGUGGUAGCAGUAUAAGGCAGUUAAUGUAAGUAAGGGCUCCGCGGUAGCAGUAUAAGGCAGUUAGUGUAAGUAAGGGCUCCGUGGUAGCAGUAUAAGGCAGUUAGUGUAAGUAGUGGCUCCGCGGUAGCAGUAUAA